CGUUAUUCUAUCAGUGUAUUCCAACCAAACUCAUUGUGAAUAAUCUAAGAACGGCAUGCAGCUUCUGGCACACGAAAGAAGCGAGUUACUGAAAUAAACGCAGGCUGCGACAUCGAAGAAAGGAACUUCAACAAUGUUGAGUAGCAUUUGUGAUAACCUAGAUUAAAAGGUCCUGUCAAUGAAUCUUGGAAGACAUCACUCGCUAGCGAAACUGAUGAAUUUAUUGCAUAUAAACGACAGUUGAUUACAGAGUUCAAAUACUGCAGAAAUGAUCUAAGUUGGCAAGUAUCCUCA